CCCUCGUCAAGAUACCUCCCGCCAUUCCCGUUGUCUAGGAGUCACUAGUACUCUUCAAAACCGAUCGCCAUUUCAGGAUUUCUCGGCGUCACCAACCACCAUGCCGAUAGUUCUACUUUCUACAUCCACUUCUGAUCUCUGUUUCUCAUUUCCUGCCAGUUCCCUUAUUCCCCGCCUUGUUCACAAUCGGAGUUGGAUUCAUUUCGCUGCUUCUUGAAAUUCAGGAUCGCUAGAGGGCGCCUGCGCAUGUCCAAGUUGCUGCGGCUUUGCCUUUCAAUCUGUCUCUAAGUAACUUGGCUGGUCGGUUUUUACAAGUUUCUCUGUCAAUACAGAGGAUUUUUUUUUGUUUGAAGAUGGCGCAGCGGUAUAGCUUUGUCCGAUGCUGGGAAGUUUAAGAAGUGAAAGAACUCUUGUGUACUUGAAGUGUAGUCUGCUUCUAGUCUCUAUUUUGAAUGUUCAUUUUUCUCGCGGUUUUUGAACGUUCAUUUUUUCGAGGACAAAUUUAGUGGGGAUUUUGCUUAGUGAUCAGGAAUCAUCGCGCAAUUCAGGAGACAUGGAUGCUGAAAUUUUAAUUGUUGGGGGUAACUGGAGUGGAUUUUAGCUGGCUUGUACUGGUCUCUAAAGCACUGGUGUGGUGCACAUCAUUGUUGGUAUAAAACAGGUCUGUAACCUCGUAUUCAAAGGUGCAUGAUACAUAAGUUCUCUGGAAAUGUUAGGAUGUAUGCCAUUUUGGAUUCAAUAGCAUCUGGGCCAAUUGAAGCUCGUUGCAGUCCAUACUCGACUGUGGUCGGGAUGGGAGUGUCCAUGAAAGGAAUAGAACAGAAUCCUGUUAUCUACGAUCUUGUGUCUGAAAUGGCUUUUCAACGCAACAAAGCCGAUGUCAAGGUACACAUAUUUUAUUAUGAUUUAUAAAUAUGAUGACCCAUUUACUUGGUUGCCAGUUGUAUUCAUGUUCCAUCUGCGGAAAGCUGACAAUUGACACCAAAUAGAUUAAAUUAAAUAUAGUUUAGAGCCGAACACCCGAAUGAAUUGUUCUUUAGAAUUGUCAAAGCAUAUCCCUUAUAUGAUGCGCAAAGA